rnacentral:rRNA from 1 species
ACGGAAGGCAGCAGUGAGGAAUAUUGGUCAAUGGACGGAAGUCUGAACCAGCCAAGUAGCGUGAGGGAUGACGGCCCUAUGGGUUGUAAACCUCUUUUGUGAGGGAAUAAAGUGCGCCACGUGUGGUGUAUUGCAUGUACCUUACGAAUAAGGAUCGGCUAACUCCGUGCCAGCAGCCGCGGUAAUACGGAGGAUCCGAGCGUUAUCCGGAUUUAUUGGGUUUAAAGGGAGCGUAGGCGGAAGGUCAAGUCAGCUGUGAAAUGUAGUCGCUCAACGUCUGCACUGCAGUUGAAACUGGCCUCCUUGAGUGCGUAAGAGGCAGGUGGAAUUCGUCGUGUAGCGGUGAAAUGCUUAGAUAUGACGAAGAACUCCGAUUGGGAAGCCAGCUUACUGUAGCGCCACUGACGCUGAUGCUCGAAAGCGUGGGUAUCGAACAGGAUUAGAUACCCUGGUA